ACGCACGCUGGCGGCGUGCUUAACCCCUGCCAGUCGAACGGAAAGGCCCUGCUUUUGUGGGGUGCUCGAGUGGCGAACGGGUGAGUAACACGUGAGUAACCUGCCCUUGACUUUGGGAUAACUUCAGGAAACUGGGGCUAAUACCGGAUAGGAGCUCCUGCUGCAUGGUGGGGGUUGGAAAGUUUCGGCGGUUGGGGAUGGACUCGCGGCUUAUCAGCUUGUUGGUGGGGUAGUGGCUUACCAAGGCUUUGACGGGUAGCCGGCCUGAGAGGGUGACCGGCCACAUUGGGACUGAGAUACGGCCCAGACUCCUACGGGAGGCAGCAGUGGGGAAUAUUGCACAAUGGGCGGAAGCCUGAUGCAGCAACGCCGCGUGCGGGAUGACGGCCUUCGGGUUGUAAACCGCUUUCGCCUGUGACGAAGCGUGAGUGACGGUAAUGGGAAAAGAAGCACCGGCUAACUACGUG
rnacentral:rRNA from 1 species